AUGUCAAKGUCSAACGCCCCACAAGGGGAGUGGCAGACGGGUGAGUAACGCGUGGGAACCUACCUAGAGGUGCGGAAUAGCCCAGGGAAACUUGGAGUAAUACCGCAUAAGCCCGCAAGGGGAAAGAUUUAUCGCCUUUAGAUGGGCCCGCGUCUGAUUAGCUAGUUGGUGAGGUAAUGGCUCACCAAGGCGACGAUCAGUAGCUGGUUUGAGAGAAUGACCAGCCACACUGGGACUGAGACACGGCCCAGACUCCUACGGGAGGCAGCAGUGGGGAAUCUUGGACAAUGGGGGCAACCCUGAUCCAGCCAUGCCGCGUGAGUGACGAAGGCCUUAGGGUUGUAAAGCUCUUUUGGCGGGGACGAUAAUGACGGUACCCGCAGAAUAAGUCCCGGCUAACUUCGUGCCAGCAGCCGCGGUAAUACGAAGGGGACUAGCGUUGUUCGGAAUUACUGGGCGUAAAGCGCACGUAGGCGGAUUUGUUAGUCAGGGGUGAAAUCCCGGGGCUCAACCUCGGAACUGCCUUUGAUACUGCAAGUCUUGAGUCCGGAAGAGGUGAGUGGAAUUCCUAGUGUAGAGGUGAAAUUCGUAGAUAUUAGGAGGAACACCGGUGGCGAAGGCGGCCCCCUGGAUCAUGACUGACGCUGAGGUGCGAAAGCGUGGGUAGCAAACAGGAUUAGAUAUCCUGGUAGUCCACGCCGUAAACGAUGUCGACUAGCCGUUUCGGUCCAUUUAAGGAUUGAGUGGCGCAGCCCACGCGAUAAGUCGACUCGCCUGGGGAGUACGGCCGCAAGGGUUAAAACUCAAAGGAAUUUGAYCGGGGGGCCCGCACAAGCGGGUGGAAGCAUGGU
rnacentral:rRNA from 1 species